rnacentral:lncRNA from 1 species
CAAAAACGAUUCCUGCCUUGAGGAACUCAUGAGCUAAUGGGGGAGACAACGAGCAAACAAAUAUGUACAAAAAUAUAUGUACAUAGGACAAAUAGGAAAUAAUCAGCAGAGAAAAAGCACUGUAAUUAAGAGGAGACAGAACAAGGAACAAUACAUCAAAUUCAAAAGAAGCAGUUUUAUAAUAGAAGGAGGAGAAAAAGGCAGAAAGAGGUCACAGUGGAAAGAGCAAGGAGUCUGGAGCUGAGAGAGAGAAUGCUCAUCUGAAUUGCUGGAGAGCUUCCUCAUUGUCAUUCUGUGUUGGAACUCUUACUGAAGACACCACCAGAACUUCUGGCUGAGGACUACCAGGAAAUCCAUGUGGAGAUCAGAAAGCCCCUUUCAGGUCCUGAACUGGACUUCACUUUGCCAGAGAAGCACUUGGGGUUGGUAGGCUAGAUCAGGCUUUAUCUCCUUCCUAUAUUUCCCACUUUCACUAUCUCUAUCUUGUUGUAAAUAAAAGCUGCUAACAAUUCUUUUGACUUAGGGGC